AAUAAGCACAACCAUGAGUUUCCGUAUUCAAUUUUAAUCAUUCGUCUUAUUUAAAAUUUUUUAUAAUUAAUAUUUUUAUUGCUAUUAGAUUAUAAAACAUGAAUUGACUUAUGUUUUUUAGUUUUUCAAAACAAAAAAAAUCAAAUAAGACGGACGAUUAAAGUUGGACACGGAAACUCAUAGUUGCAUUUAUU
rnacentral:pre_miRNA from 1 species